GACGAACGCUGGCGGCGUGCUUAACACAUGCAAGUCGAACGAUGAAGCCGGAGCUUGCUCUGGUGAAUUAGUGGCGAACGGGUGAGUAACACGUGAGUAACCUGCCCUUGACUCUGGGAUAACUGCUAGAAAUGGUAGCUAAUACCGGAUACGACCCUCGGAGGCAUCUUCAGGGGGUGGAAAGAAUUUCGGUCAAGGAUGGACUCGCGGCCUAUCAGCUAGGUGGGGAGGUAAUGGCUCACCAAGGCGACGACGGGUAGCCGGCCUGAGAGGGUGACCGGCCACACUGGGACUGAGACACGGCCCAGACUCCUCCGGGAGGCAGCAGUGAGGAAUAUUGCACAAUGGGAGCAAGCCUGAUGCAGCAACGCCGCGUGAGGGAUGACGGCUUUCGGGUUGUAAACCUCUUUUAGUAGGGAAGAAGCGAAAGUGACGGUACCUGCAGAAAAAGCACCGGCUAACUACGUGCCAGCCGCCGCAGUAA
rnacentral:rRNA from 1 species